UUGCAGGCUGCAACUCGCCUGCAUGAAGUCGGAAUUGCUAGUAAUCGUAGGUCAGCAUACUACGGUGAAUACGUUCCCGGGCCUUGUACACACCGCCCGUCAAACCAUGAGAGUUGGCAACACCCGAAGUCGGUAGUCUAACCGCAAGGAGGACGCCGCCGAAGGUGGGGUUGAUGAUUAGGGUUAAGUCGUAACAAGGUAAC
rnacentral:rRNA from 1 species